CGCCGCGGGUUUGCGGGCCGGGGACGGGCGGUGCCGGUCGUGGCCGUGCUGCAGAGGAGUGGGUCAGCCCCGGAGCCGCCAGCUGCCCCUCAGAGCCCCCCGGCUCCUCUGCCAGAGCCAGCGGUACCGGGUCUGGCCCGGCAGAGGGGACACCAAACAGGUGUGGGCUGACACCACCUGCCGCUGGUGGCACCACUGACAGGGCUGGGAGGGUGUCCUGUUCUGAACAGGCCUGUGGUAUCAUCUCCACGACCAACAGAUGGGUGCACUAAGGCUGCUGCAAAAUGAAAGAAGCAAAAAUAGGAAGAGAGACUGAAGGGACCACACAAGUGAGUGUGAGAUCAGGACAUGCAGGAAGUCUGAAGGAUGGAGGAUCUGGCAUGAUAACAGCUGAAGUAUUGACUAAAAGCCCAAUGUCUAUCGAAACCUGGAGCUCCUGACUUGGAAGGAAGUUCCUGUGCAUGAGGCCAUAAUGCACAUACCUGCUGUCUGACCCCCUGUUCAGUUGCACAGAGAAAGGACUGAAGGCAUGUUCUAGAAGCAAUACUUUGGAGUGGAGUAAUGCAGGAGGAGGAAUGACACAAGAAGGCUAUAGAAUGUAUGUUUUCUCUGGAGAGGAAAAUGCAUUAAGACACAAACAUUUGCUGCAUGUGUACAAGUGCCUUUCUCACUGACACAAAGCCACUUCACUGAAGUGCUUGCUCAGCCUGGGAGGCACCAGCGUCAGCCACAGACCUAAACUACUUCUUGCUUUGUGAGCUCCUGCAAUGGUCAGGCAUGGAGGUGUCUUAAUUUACUGAAAUGAGACAACAGCUGAUGAUGCUGAAAAGCACUGGCUGAGAUUGUCACAGAACCCUUACAACAGAACCUGGUUUAUUUGAAAUGUUCUCCACCAUUUAAGUUGUUUUUUCCUAUUCUUUGAAGAUCAUUCUUGUGGUUGCUAGCACACAGUCCCUCCCACAGUGCAUAGUCUCACACUGUAGGCUACACCAUAAAUCCUAAAGAAAGUGAUUCACCAAUUCUUUGGACUGCCUCUGGCAGACUUUCUCUAAAAUUAGUGCCUUGGAAAUAUCACUAAGAGCAGAGAAAUUCUCCAGCUAAUAUUUGAAUAAAAAAAGAGAUCUUUGCUUAAUAGCAUGUGAAGGUUAUGUAGUGAGGAGCACUUUUCUGCAGGUAAUAUAAACUCAUCUUUAGUAUAAAUGAUCAUGGCAAGAUCUUUCAUUAGAAGUCCAUGAAAUAAAAAUAACUCAGAUAAAAUUAUAUCAGGAAGAUAAAGUACCAUUUGGGUGAAAGCACUGUGCUGAAACAAAUAAUCUGUCCUAUUGAUCAGCAUAAUGUUUCUGACAGAACUGUUCUGCUCAUUUGAAAUCCCCUUCACCUGCUUUUUGCUGUUGUGGGAUAAUGCAGAGCUGGGCUGUGCAGCCUCAGGAGCUGGAUGUGCUUUACAAAGCCCUGUCACACAUGCCCCCUCCUCCUGUCCAGCUGCAGGCUGGCCCCUCUCCCAGCAAGCAGCUCCAAUUCUCUCACACAGUGCUCUAACCUCACCUGGCACAGCUCUCCUGCCCUGUCUGCCCUGCCUGAGCAGCCUCCAACCUCUUCACCUUCCACUGCAGCAGCUCCUUGCUCAUCUCCUGAACAGUUCCCCAGCACCUCCUUGUGUGAGCAGCCAGACUGUCCCUGUGGCUGACCAGGCAGCUCCAUUUCCCCUAAAGGCCCUGCUACAGACCUCAUUUUCUAUAUCCAUAGGCAGCUGCAAAGGGUGUGGGCAGGGAAGGUGAAUGGCAGGAGCUAUGGUGGGAAUACCUUAUGGAUUGAUAUCAUAAGAGCUGUGCUAGACAGCAGUGGACUGAGUGUUUUCACAUAUGGAGAAUGAAGCUGGCCUUCUCCAACUACAGGUCAGAUUUAACCUGGCUGAGAUGAUGAUCUUCUUCAGUCCAUGUAAGCAUCAAAAAUUUCAUGCUUUUAACUGAAGAGCUCAAACCUAGGAGAAGAAAAAAUCUCUCAGCAUUUCAUACUGAAAUCAACUGUUAUCUUUGAACAAGCUGCACCAAUAACACUCUCAGCUGAACACGCAGAUUCUUAGUUUGGUUUUGCUGUUAACUAAAAAUUAACAAUUCAACAUAAGUCUUAAUAUAGCCAUGUGUCUGUCUGGCACAUGCAAGACUUCCCUACAGUACUUUCUCUCUCUUCAUGCUGCAAAAAUCAGUAAUACCAAUGACGGAUUCAGCAGCAAAUACCUUGAACUUUGGAAGAGUGACUUGGCAUCUGAACCCAGCACAGCUUCAAAAGGACAGUACUCCCUUGCAGCUUACCAAGUCUUCUCUCAAAGGUUACAUGUCACAAUGUCAACAGAGCCUUCAGAAAAUGGAGAGUACCAAAGUAUGAUUAAUUUUCUGGUUUACGAUAUUUCUACUCUGAUAAGUGGAUAGGUGGAUACGUUUUUUUCAUUAAAAAUUAACCCUUUAUAUUCAGUCUUAUCUGCGGCCUUUGAAUUGGAUUUUACUUCAGCUAAUUUUUCCAGACUCAAAUAGGUGAGUGAGAGACCAUUUUUUUCUCACAUUUUUGUCUUGUCAUGUAUACAGUACAUAUAUACAAAUGAAUUGAAUGAAGCUGGGUAGAUGAUACAAGCUGAAAUUUGAAACAGAGAAGUCUUGACUAACUGGAAGUAAAUGCAUAAAAUAUGUAUGCACAUGAUGGUACACUGGAAACACAAGUUCUAACUACAGUUUCAGCUCCAAGCUAAUGGUUCAGGUCUUGGGUUGCAGGUUUUCCAAGCCCAGUGGCACAAAAACAUAUGUCCUUUGCUUUUAAACAGAUUGAAUUUUGUGCAGAAUCAUUAACAGACAGUGGCAAUACAUCUACUCUAUACAGAAGAAUAUGGAGAAAAUCAAGUAUGAUGUGUAAUCUCAUUAUCAAAGAGAAGACAAAGCUCUGAUGUCAACAGGAGUCCUUCUGUAGACUUUGAUAUAGAAUUAAUUUCAUUAAUCUUAAUUAUUUUGCCCCAGUCUUAAUAUCUUUAUUGCAUCGUGAAAUGGUGUUUUCCUAAGAGAGAGCAAACAGUUUGGGGAUUUUCUCUUCUUUCAUAUUCAAUUUUGUUUUGGUUUCAGUGGGAGUAUUGGUUGUUGGUUGAGUUGCUGACAAAGAAGUCCUGAGGGACAGGGGAGGAUGUGUGUGCCUUGGAAUGUAGAUGUAAAUGGCAUAUUGGCCUUGUAAUGGA
ensembl:lncRNA